rnacentral:rRNA from 1 species
UACAGAGGUCCCAAGCGUUGUUCGGAUUCACUGGGCGUAAAGGGUGCGUAGGCGGUCGGGUAAGGCUGAUGUGAAAUCUCACAGCUUAACUGUGAAACUGCAUUGGAUACUAUUCGGCUUGAGAGUUGGAGGGGGGACUGGAAUUCUUGGUGUAGCAGUGAAAUGCGUAGAUAUCAAGAGGAACACCAGUGGCGAAGGCGAGUCCCUGGACAACUUCUGACGCUGAGGCACGAAAGCUAGGGGAGCAAACAGG